UGCCAGCCGCCGCGGUAAUACGAAGGGCCCGAGCGUUGCGCGGAAUCAUUGGGCUUAAAGCGUACGCAGGCGGACACGCAGGCGUCUUGUGAAAUCCCUCGGCUCAACCGAGGAACUGCUCGACGAACCGCGUGUCUUGAGGCAAGUAGGGGCUGUCGGAACGAUAGGUGGAGUGGUGAAAUGCGUUGAUAUCUAUCGGAACGCCGAAGGAGAAAUCAGGCAGCUGGGCUUGUUCUGACGCUGAGGUACGAAAGCGUGGGGAGCGAACGGGAUUAGAUA
rnacentral:rRNA from 1 species